CACGUAGGGCGCAAGCGUUGUCCGGAAUUAUUGGGCGUGAAGAGCUCGUAGGCGGUCUGUUGCGUCCGCUGUGAAAACUCGGGGCUUAACCCCGAGCCUGCAGUGGAUACGGGCAGACUAGAGGUAGGUAGGGGAGAAUGGAAUUCCCGGUGUAGCGGUGAAAUGCGCAGAUAUCGGGAGGAACACCGGUGGCGAAGGCGGUUCUCUGGGCCUUACCUGACGCUGAGGAGCGAAAGCGUGGGGAGCGAACAGG
rnacentral:rRNA from 1 species